rnacentral:rRNA from 1 species
GACGAACGCUGGCGGCGUGCUUAACACAUGCAAGUCGAACGAAGAGCGAUGGAAGCUUGCUUCUCUCAAUCUUAGUGGCGAACGGGUGAGUAACGCGUAAUCAACCUGCCCUUCAGAGGGGGACAACAGUUGGAAACGACUGCUAAUACCGCAUACGAUCUAAUCUCGGCAUCGAGGAUAGAUGAAAGGUGGCCUCUACAUGUAAGCUAUCACUGAAGGAGGGGAUUGCGUCUGAUUAGCUAGUUGGAGGGGUAACGGCCCACCAAGGCGAUGAUCAGUAGCCGGUCUGAGAGGAUGAACGGCCACAUUGGGACUGAGACACGGCCCAGACUCCUACGGGAGGCAGCAGUGGGGAAUCUUCCGCAAUGGACGAAAGUCUGACGGAGCAACGCCGCGUGAGCGAUGACGGCCUUCGGGUUGUAAAGCUCUGUUAAUCGGGACGAAAGGCCUUCUUGCGAAUAGGGAGAAGGAUUGACGGUACCGGAAUAGAAAGCCACGGCUAACUACGUG